rnacentral:rRNA from 1 species
CCUACGGGAGGCAGCAGUGAGGAAUAUUGGUCAAUGGACGAGAGUCUGAACCAGCCAAGUAGCGUGAAGGAUGACUGCCCUAUGGGUUGUAAACUUCUUUUAUAUGGGAAUAAAAUGUUCCACGUGUGGGAUUUUGUAUGUACCAUAUGAAUAAGGAUCGGCUAACUCCGUGCCAGCAGCCGCGGUAAUACGGAGGAUCCGAGCGUUAUCCGGAUUUAUUGGGUUUAAAGGGAGCGUAGGUGGAUUGUUAAGUCAGUUGUGAAAGUUUGCGGCUCAAACGUAAAAUUGCAGUUGAUACUGGCAGUCUUGAGUACAGUAGAGGUGGGCGGAAUUCGUGGUGUAGCGGUGAAAUGCUUAGAUAUCACGAAGAACUCCGAUUGCGAAGGCAGUUCACUGGACUGCAACUGACACUGAGGCUCGAAAGUGUGGGUAUCAAACAGGAUUAGAUACCCGUGUAGUC